rnacentral:rRNA from 1 species
GACGAACGCUGGCGGCGUGCUUCAUACAUGCAAGUCGAACGAGAAGCUGACUUCGGUCAGUGGAAAGUGGCGGACGGGGGAGUAAUAUGUAGGAAAUCUGCCUUUAGGAGGGGGACAACAGAGGGAAACUUCUGCUAAUACCCCAUAUGAGCGUAGCUGAACUGCUAUUUUUGAAAACUCCGGUGCCUAAAGAUGAGCCUGCAUCUGAUUAGCUAGUUGGUAGUGUAAUGGUCUACCAAGGGGACGAUCAGUAGCUGGGUUGAGAGGAUGAGCCGCCACCACGGGAAUGGGACCCCGCCCAUAAUCCUAAGGGAGGGAGGAGGAGGGGAAUUUGCGAAAUGGGCGGAAGCCUGACGCCGCAACGCCGCGUGAACUAUUAAGCCCUUCAGGGUGUAAAGUCCUGUCAGUGGGGGCGAAAAUUGACGGUACCCACAGAGGAAGCACCGGCUAACUCCGUG